rnacentral:lncRNA from 1 species
GAAGCAACUAUUCUGAAGAUCCUUUUAACAGGCAAUGAAUAUGCUUCAUGAAGGCACUUUGAUCCCCAGAGAGUCCUGUCUGAGUUGAAUUUCUUGGAACACAAGGGCAUGGAUUCUGCCCUCAAGUCGGUCAGGAUGCAUGAAGAAAGCACGGAUGACAUGGCACUGUGGUGACUGUGACAGACACAAAAUACCAAGAAACUGAGUGUGGAGACACCACCCAGAGAGAGAACAAACUCUGUCCUGGUGGGGCAGAACUAGGUUCUCAGGAGCAUUGACAUCUGAGUUUGUACUUUGUUUGAAGAUGGAGAGAAGUUAGUUGUCUGAUUGGAGGGUGUGGGAAAAGGGUUUGCCUGGAUGAGGGUGACAUAUGUGGAAAGGUGAGCAGUGAUGAGCUCUUGCAGAUUCUUAGGGGCAAGUGAAGAAAAGUCUAGUUCGAAUGGGAGCAGAGUCAGUGCUGGUGAGGGGCCUUUGAAUAGCAAUGUCACUAGAAAUUUUGGGUUAUUUUUCCCCAAAAAGUGAGGAGGAGAUGGUGAAGCAAGCUCUGAGGGCAACUUGACUGCCUGCGGUUAAACCUGCAGUGUCUCUAGGCAGGACCUGAUUGUGC